rnacentral:rRNA from 1 species
UACGUAGGUGGCAAGCGUUGUCCGGAUUUACUGGGCGUAAAGAGCGCGCAGGCGGUCGUUCAAGUCGCGUGUGAAAGCCCCCGGCUCAACUGGGGAGGGUCACGCGAUACUGAUCGACUCGAAGGCAGGAGAGGGUAGUGGAAUUCCCGGUGUAGUGGUGAAAUGCGUAGAUAUCGGGAGGAACACCGGUGGCGAAGGCGGCAUCCUGGACCGGUAUUGACGCUGAGGCGCGAAAGCUAGGGGAGCAAACGGG